rnacentral:rRNA from 1 species
GACAGAGGUCCCGAGCGUUAGGCGGAAUCACUGGGCUUAAAGCGUGUGUAGGCGGAUCGUUAAGUGCCUUAUGAAAUCCCACGGCUUAACCGUGGAACUGCUUGGCAUACUGGCGGUCUUGAGCAACCUAGGGGCAAGCGGAACAAAUGGUGGAGCGGUGAAAUGGCGUAGAUAUCAUUUGGAACGCCAAUGGUGGAAAACAGCUU